rnacentral:lncRNA from 1 species
GAGAAACCAGUUUGUUCUGCGAGUUGGUAAACUUGAUAUGAUUUGUUGAUUUUUUUUUUCCUCCUGGUGCUGAGGAGAGGGGUACAUAUUAGACAGGAGUCCUACACGCUGAGCCUCAUCUUUAGCCCUUUGUCUUUGUGAGACAGGUCUUGCUUUCUAUAUAGCUUACUAUGGCUUUGACCAUGAAACCUUUCUGUUCUUCUGCUGCUUUGGGCCACAGGUGUGAGGUAGCGGAAUACUUGGAUAUUCAUUUUAACCUACACUGGGCUGUGAUUUCCUCAUCUGUAAAACGAUGAGCUUAGAAACAGGGCAAAUCCAAGAUCUCUUCCGACUCUUAUCAUUCUGAAACUCUUAUCAGGAAGCCUAAUUGAUGCAGAUUUUGAAAGUUGUUGUAGACUGAUUUUAGAUGGAUUUGAAAGUUGGAGUUGUUUUGAGUUCUGUGUUGUUGGUUCAAAACUGUCAAAUCACCUAGAACUUAUAUCUAAUAUAUUAGAUGUCAAAGCAAACUUUACAUCUGAUAUAUUGCAGUCAAAGCAGACUUCUGUUUGGAUAAAGAAGAUAAAUAAUGUUUUAUUUAAUCUCUUCACCAUUGAUAUUUCCCAAAGUAGAAUCUGGAUGCUAGAGGUGAGUUGAAGUUAAACUCUUUUCUUAAUUGAUUCGUAAAGUUCCCUUCACAAUCUGGUUUAUGUAGCUUACUGUAAUAACAUAUAGAGGAAUCUCAUUGCUCAAAACUGCUGGUUGAAUAUUUUUUAAAGUUUGUUUUAUGUGUAUGUAUGUGUGUUUAUGGACCUGUGUGUGUGUGUGUGUGUGUGUGUGUGUGUGGGUAGGUAGGUAGGUAGAUAGGUAGGUAGAUAAGCCAGAAGAAGCCCCCACAUAUGCUGGAACUAGAGUCACAGGCAGUUGUGAGCUGUGCACAGUGUGGGUACUGGGGAACUGAGUCUGGGUCUUCUGAAAGAGUAACAAGUGCUCAUAGCCUUUAAGCCAUUCUCCAGCUCUGGUUGUUUAGUUGUAGCUCAUGGUAGACUGAAAAUUCCCAUUACUCUUCUCAGAUUAUAGAAUUCAGAAAACUGAGAUAAUUUAGCACAACUGUAUUUUACUAGAUGAGGAAAGUAAACUCCAAUCUGUUCAGUCAGAAUUAAGAGGACACCCAGAUUUUGAUAAGUCCUCUAGUGUCAUUUUCUCCACACUGUGAGCUUGUAAGAUGAACUAUUUUUAGGUGUUCUUUAUGUUUUAAUUAUUCAAUACGAAGGCUGAUAACUGUUCUUUACACAUUUCCUGGUUUCUUUAUUACUGUUUCUUUCUAAUCAGUGCCGUUGAGAGGUGGCUAUCGCUGUGGCGGACUGUAAGGGGAGAGCCUGUAACUGAGGAGCCGACCGCCAUGUGCUCAGUGCACAGAGGGAAAUAGAUUUCAUUCCUGAUGCUACCUGCUCCUCGGGAGAUUUAGCAUAGACCUCAGACCAGUUGCCAGGGAAGAGGCUGAGCUUUAGAAUAUCAGUUUGGGCUUGCUCCAACUUUGAAGUUGAAGUAGCUAGAAGUUUGGAAAUGUUGGAAAAAGAAAUCAUUG